rnacentral:sRNA from 1 species
UUCAAUUUACUAUUAAUGUGCAGGACGA